AGCUCUAAUAGCGUAUACUAACACUGCUGCGAUUAAAAAGCUCGUAGUUGGAUUUUGGGGAGUGGUCGACUGGACCGGAGUAAUCCGCGUUUCCGGUCAACGCUCCCUUCUGUCUGGAGGGCGCGGUGGGCGGUUCAUUCCGUCCCGCCGUGUGAUCUAGGACUUUUACUUUGAAUAAAGGAGAGUGCUCAAAGCAGCCGUUACGGCCGAAUUUAUUAGCAUGGAAUAACAACAUAGGACUUUGGUUCUAUUUUGUUGGUUUUAAGGACCAGAGUAAUGAUCAAUAGGGACGGUCGGGGGCAUCGAUAUUGUAUUGUCAGAGGUGAAAUUCUUAGAUUUAUGCAAGAUCAACUUCUGCGAAAGCGUUUGCCAAGGACGUUUUCAUUAAUCAAGAACGAAA
rnacentral:rRNA from 1 species